UAUUUUUUUGCUUCUUUUUUCUAAGCAUACUUACCUGUAUAUUGUUAUCAAGAAAUGAGAAGAUUGAUAGUGUUAUUAGUGUUCUUGUUUUGCUAAAUUUUGUAUAUUGUUAUCAAGAAAUGAGAAGAUUGAUAGUGUUAUUAGUGUUCUUGUUUUGCUAAAUUUUGUAUAUUGUUAUCAAGAAAUGAGAAGAUUGAUAGUGUUAUUUGUGUUCUUGUUUUGCUAAAUAUUGUAUAUUGUUAUCAAGAAAUGAGAAGAUUGAUAGUGUUAUUAGUGUUCUUGUUUUGCCAAAUUUUGUAUAUUGUUAUCAAGAAAUGAGAAGAUUGAUAGUGUUAUUAGUGUUCUUGUUUUGCUAAAUUCUGUAUAUUGUUAUCAAGAAAUGAGAGAAUUGAUAGUGUUAUUAGUGUUCUUGUUUUACAAAAUUCUGUAUAUUGUUAUCAAGAAAUGAGAGGAUUGAUAGUGUUUUUAGUGUUCUUGUUUUGGUAAAUUUUGUAUAUUGUUAUAAAGAAAUGAGAAGAUUGUUAGUGUUAUUAAUGUUCUUGUUUUGGUAAAUUUUGUAUAUUGUUACCAAGAAAUGAGAAGAUUGAUAAUGUUAUUACUAUUCUUGUUUUGCUAAAUUUUGUAUAUUGUUAUCAAGAAAUAAGAAGAUUGAUAGUGUUAUUAGUAUUCUUGUUUUGCUAAAUUUUGUAUAUUGUUAUCAAGAAAUGAGAAGAUUGGUAGUGUUAUUUCACAAGAACAAAACGAUUUAAAACAUAUAACAAUAGUUCUUUACAGAAGAUUGGUAGUGUUAUUAGUGUUCUUGUUUUGCUAAAUUUUGUAUAUUGUUAUCAAGAAAUGAGAAGAUUGAUAAUGUUAUUAGUGUUCUUGUUUUGCUAAAUUUUGUAUAUUGUUAUCAAGAAAUGAGAACAUUGAUAGUGUUAUUAGUGUUCUUGUUUUGCUAAAUUUUGUAUAUUGUUAUCAAGAAAUCAGAGGAUUGAUAGAGUUAUUAGUGUUCUUGUUUUGUUAAAUUUUGUAUAUUGUUAUCAAGAAAUCAGAAGAUUGAUAGUGUUAUUAGUGUUUUUGUUUUCCUAAAUUUUGUAUAUUGUUAUCAAGAAAUGAGUAGAUUGAUAGUGUUAUUAGUAUUCUUGUUUUGCUAAAUUUUAUAUAUUGUUAUCAAGAAAUGAGAGGAUUGAUAGUGUUAUUAGUGUUCUUGUUUUGCUAAAUUCUGUAUAUUGUUAUCAAAAAAUGAGAGGAUUGAUAGUGUUAUUAGUGUUCUUGUUUUGCAACUUUCUGUAUAUUGUUAUCAAGAAAUGAGAAGAUUGAUAGUGUUAUUAGUGUUCUUGUUUUGCUAAAUUUUGUAUAUUGUUAUCAAGAAAUGAGAAGAUUGAUAGUGUUAUUAGUGUUCUUGUUUUGCUA
rnacentral:lncRNA from 1 species